rnacentral:misc_RNA from 1 species
UCAACCAUCAAGCUAAGCUUGUCGUUGGACCCUUUGUCGCCUGGCGACAGGUCCGAAAGAUAAUGAACGGUGUCAUGGCGACCCUAUAUGCAACGAGCUUGUCAAUAAGCACGCAUUUGGUGGUCGUCUGGCCCGAUCGUCACCUUUUAUUUUUUCCA